rnacentral:rRNA from 1 species
CAGCAGCCGCCGCGGUAAUACGUAGGUGGCAAGCGUUGUCCGGAAUUAUUGGGCGUAAAGGGCUCGCAGGCGGUUUCUUAAGUCUGAUGUGAAAGCCCCCGGCUCAACCGGGGAGGGUCAUUGGAAACUGGGAAACUUGAGUGCAGAAGAGGAGAGUGGAAUUCCACGUGUAGCGGUGAAACGCGUAGAGAUGUGGAGGAACACCAGUGGCGAAGGCGACUCUCUGGUCUGUAACUGACGCUGAGGAGCGAAAGCGUGGGGAGCGAACAGGAUUAGAGACCCGAGUAGUCCCUGUCUCUUAUAC